AAAAAUAACAAUACCGGGCUCUUUCGAGUCUGGUAAUUGGAAUGAGUACAAUUUAAAUCCCUUAUCGAGUAACAAUUGGAGGGCAAGUCUGGUGCCAGCAGCCGCGGUAAUUCCAGCUCCAAUAGCGUAUAUUAAAGUUGUUGCAGUUAAAAAGCUCGUAGUUGGACCUGUGCUCUGUAGGUGCUGGUGGGCCAUGGGCUCUACUGGCGCUCUGCGGGGCUCUUUGGGGACACUGACCUCGGUCAGCACACCCCGUGUUACUGUGAAGAAAUUAGAGUGUUUAAAGCAGGCGUUUUGCUUGGAUACAUCAGCAUGGAAUAACAAGAACGAUCUCGGUCUUCUUGUUGGUUUGGCGGUCGAGACCAUGAUUAAUAGGGCCAGUUGGGGGCAUUAGUAUUCAGUAGUCAGAGGUGAAAUUCUUGGAUUUACUGAAGACUAACUAGUGCGAAAGCAUUUGCCAAGGAUGUUUUCAUUAAUCAAGAACGAAAGUUAGGGGAUCGAAGACGAUCAGAUACCGUCGUAGUCUUAACUAUAAACGAUGCCGACUCUGGAUCGGCAGGCUUCGUUUGCGAACCUGUCGGGACAGUGUGAGAAAUCAAAGUUUUUGGGUUCUGGGGGGAGUAUGGUCGCAAGGCUGAAACUUAAAGGAAUUGACGGAAGGGCACCACCAGGAGUGGAGCCUGCGGCUUAAUUUGACUCAACACGGGAAAACUCACCAGGUCCGGACAUGGUAAGGAUUGACAGAUUGAGAGCUCUUUCUUGAUUCUGUGGGUGGUGGUGCAUGGCCGUUCUUAGUUGGUGGAGUGAUUUGUCUGGUUAAUUCCGAUAACGAACGAGACCUCUACCUGCUAACUAGCCAGUUUGGAUAACGAGUUAUUCAGCGGCUUCUUAGAGGGACUGACUGUGGUAAAUGGUCGGAAGUUUGAGGCAAUAACAGGUCUGUGAUGCCCUUAGAUGUUCUGGGCUGCACGCGCGCUACACUGACAUAGGCAGCGAGUAUUCGCCUUGGCCGAGAGGUCUGGGAAAUCUUGUGAAACUAUGUCGUGCUGGGGAUAGAUCAUUGCAAUUAUUGGUCUUGAACGAGGAAUUCCUAGUAAGCGCAAGUCAUCAGCUUGCGUUGAUUACGUCCCUGCCCUUUGUACACACCGCCC
rnacentral:rRNA from 1 species